rnacentral:lncRNA from 1 species
AAGAAAGGGAAAGAAGUUGCUGACUGCAAUCUUCUGGGCACCUAAUUGAGUAUGUCAACUUGGAAUUUUCCUAUAGAGUUUGUUGGGGAACUCUGAUGGUGGCAUCUUUAGGUCUUUUGAGCCAGUGAGUUUCUUCAGAGGGCACUCUGCCAAUCUCCUGCUGGGGAAGCCAGAAAUCUGAGAGGAGACCUUUUGGAAUAAAUAUAUUUUCAUCACAUAAAAGUAUUGUCUAGAAUAAUAUUGCUUUGUACACAAUAUUAUUCAGCAAUUAAAUAUAUAGAUUUUUAUCCAUUACUGUCUCUGUAGAGAAAGUCCCUGCUGCAGAACGUUAAGAACUCUCAUGCACAAUAUUUAUUUUUCUUAAUAAAAAGUGUGUGGCUGCAUAAAAUUUUAAUCUUUAGAGAUUUUUGAAUUAAUGGCAUAUAGUGAUAGAUAUUAAAAAUUAUGGUCAUGAACUCUGAAGGUUCUUGUAGAGAUAUGUGUCCAGCGUUCAAUAUCAUUUUGUCAAAGAAACUAAUUCAGUGGAGCACAGAAAAAUAUCAGUAUGUUAGGUUGUAUUUUAUUUUGUCUUUGCAAACCCUUCUAUUAUAAUACAUCAUACUAUUCUGUCGCCAGAUCUAUGUGUUUAUGUGUGUAUGUUUUGAAGUUCAACCUUAGUAAUCUCUCAUAUUCUCAUAAGGAUAUAAUUUGGAAGAGUAUUUU